GAAAGUAAGCAAGGGCAGACGGUGGAUGCCUUGGCUCUCGGAGGCGAUGAAGGACGUGAUAAGCUGCGAUAAGCUUGGGGUAGGUGCAAAUAACCUUUGAUCCCAAGAUUUCCGAAUGGGGCAACCCGGCUGGUAGAAGGCCAGUCAUUCCGUAAGGAAGGCGAACGUGGGGAACUGAAACAUCUAAGUACCCAUAGGAGAAGAAAACAAAAGUGAUUCCGCAAGUAGUGGCGAGCGAACGCGGAAUAGCCCAAACCGAUGAUGUUUAGGCAUUGUCGGGGUAGUAGGACCACGUUGUGGCAAGAGAUUAAGGAAGUAGAACGUUUUGGAACAAACGGCCGUAGACGGUGAAAGCCCGGUAUACGACUCUUUAACGAAGCCUAGUGGUAUCCUGAGUAGCGCGGAGCACGAGAAAUUCUGUGUGAAUCAGCGGGGCCCAUCCCGUAAGGCUAAAUACUCCCGAGAGACCGAUAGCGAACCAGUACUGUGAAGGAAAGGUGAAAAGCACCUCGAACAGAGGAGUGAAAUAGUCCCUGAAACCGUCUGCCUACAAGCGGUCGGAGCAACGUAAGUUGUGACGGCGUGCCUUUUGCAUAAUGAACCUACGAGUUACUUUCUCCGGCAAGGUUAAGGGCUUCAGGCCCGGAGCCGAAGCGAAAGCGAGUCUUAAUAGGGCGUGAUAGUCGGAGUGAGUAGACGCGAAACCAAGUGAUCUACCCUUGGUCAGGAUGAAGGUUGGGUAACACCAACUGGAGGUCCGAAUGGGUAUACGUUGAAAAGUGUUCCAAUGAACUGAGGGUAGGGGUGAAAGGCUAAUCAAACUUGGAGAUAGCUCGUACUCCCCGAAAUGCAUUUAGGUGCAGCCUUUAUUUAGUAUAGCAUGAGGUAGAGCGACUGAUUGGAUGCGAGGGCUUCACCGCCUAUCAAGUCCAGAUAAACUCCGAAUGCGUGCUAUAUAUUGAUAAGGAGUGAGGGCGCGGGUGCUAAGGUCCGCGUCCGAGAGGAGAAGAAUCCAGACCAUCAGCUAAGGUCCCCAAAUAACAGUUAAGUUGAACUAACGAAGUCGGACUGCAGAGACAGCUAGGAUGUUGGCUUGGAAGCAGCCAUUCAUUUAAAGAGUGCGUAACAGCUCACUAGUCGAGGAGUCCGGCGUGGAUAAUACUCGGGCAUAAACUGUUUACCGAAGCUAUGGAUGUAGAAAUACAUGGUAGGGGAGCAUUCCAACGGCGUCGAAGGUGAAGGAUGACCUUUGCUGGAGCUUUUGGAAACGCAAAUGUAGGUAUAAGUAACGAUAAAGGAGGUGAGAAACCUCCUCGCCGAAAGACUAAGGUUUCCUGAUCAACGUUAAUCGGAUCAGGGUAAGUCGGGACCUAAGGUUAAGCCGAACGGCGAUACCGAUGGAAGAAUGGUUUAAUAUUCCCAUACUACUUUAUGGAGCGAUGUGGAGACGGAGAAGUGAAAGUCCUGCCAUCUGACGGAAUAGGUGGUUGAAGAGUGUAGAUGUAGAUUCCUGUAGGCAAAUCCGCAGGGAGAGUCGACCUUGAUAGUAUGCCGCGUGCUUGCACAAGGCAAAAUGGACGUAAUCAGGCUCCCAAGAAAAUCCGCUAAGCAUAUUCAUAAAGUACCCGUACCGUAAACGGACACACGUAGUUGGGUUGAAAAUACUGAGGCGCUCGAGUGAUUCACGGUUAAGGAACUAGGCAAAUUGACCCUGUAACUUCGGGAUAAAGGGUCCCUACUGAGAGGUAGGGCGCAGAGAAUAGGUCCAGGCAACUGUUUAACAAAAACACAUGGCUGUGCGAAAUAGAAAUAUGAAGUAUACAGCCUGACACCUGCCCGGUGCUGGAAGGUUAAGAGGAGAGCUCAUCGCAAGAGAAGGCUUGAAUUGAAGCCCCAGUAAACGGCGGCCGUAACUAUAACGGUCCUAAGGUAGCGAAAUUCCUUGUCGGGUAAGUUCCGACCUGCACGAAUGGUGUAA
rnacentral:rRNA from 1 species